GUUUCAUUUGUACAUUAUGCACAAUAGACAUUCCAUUACAUUCAAGAGUGUGUAAAAGUACUCGAGUCGCCAGGCCGAUCAAGGCCAUGCAAAGCGGCAGACUCAGAGUCAUAGAUUCACAGGUGUGUGGGAUUUGCGACUCGCAACGUGCACAUGUGUCUCCACCAGCACAGUAGGACGAGCCGACUUUGAGGAUUCACUAAUGAUCCUUCCGCAGGUUCACCUACGGAAA
rnacentral:misc_RNA from 1 species